UGGGGAAUAUUGCGCAAUGGGCGAAAGCCUGACGCAGCGACGCCGCGUGGGGGAUGAAGGCCUUCGGGUUGUAAACCCCUUUCAGCAGGGACGAAGCGAAAGUGACGGUACCUGCAGAAGAAGCGCCGGCUAACUACGUGCCAGCAGCCGCGGUAACACGUAGGGCGCAAGCGUUGUCCGGAAUUAUUGGGCGUAAAGAGCUCGUAGGCGGUCUGUUGCGUCCGCUGUGAAAACUCGGGGCUUAACCCCGAGCCUGCAGUGGAUACGGGCAGACUAGAGGUAGGUAGGGGAGAAUGGAAUUCCCGGUGUAGCGGUGAAAUGCGCAGAUAUCGGGAGGAACACCGGUGGCGAAGGCGGUUCUCU
rnacentral:rRNA from 1 species